ACGAACGCUGGCGGCGUGCUUAACACAUGCACGUCGAACGGAAAGGCCCUGCUUUUGUGGGGUGCUCGAGUGGCGAACGGGUGAGUAACACGUGAGUAACCUGCCCUUGACUUUGGGAUAACUUCAGGAAACUGGGGCUAAUACCGGAUAGGAGCUCCUGCUGCAUGGUGGGGGUUGGAAAGUUUCGGCGGUUGGGGAUGGACUCGCGGCUUAUCAGCUUGUUGGUGGGGUAGUGGCUUACCAAGGCUUUGACGGGUAGCCGGCCUGAGAGGGUGACCGGCCACAUUGGGACUGAGAUACGGCCCAGACUCCUACGGGAGGUAGCAGUGGGGAAUAUUGCACAAUGGGCGGAAGCCUGAUGCAGCAACGCCGCGUGCGGGAUGACGGCCUUCGGGUUGUAAACCGCUUUCGCCUGUGACGAAGCGUGAGUGACGGUAAUGGGUAAAGAAGCACCGGCUAACUACGUG
rnacentral:rRNA from 1 species